rnacentral:rRNA from 1 species
UACGUAGGGGGCAAGCGUUGUCCGGAUUUAUUGGGCGUAAAGAGCGUGUAGGCGGCCAUACAGGUCAGCUGUGAAAACUCGAGGCUCAACCUCGAGACGUCGGUUGAAACCGUAUGGCUAGAGUCCGGGAGAGGUGAGUGGAACUGCGAGUGUAGAGGUGAAAUUCGUAGAUAUUCGCAAGAACACCAGUGGCGAAGGCGGCUCACUGGCCCGAUACUGACGCUGAGGCACGAAAGCGUGGGGAGCAAACAGG